UAAAGUGUGUGUGUGUGUGUGUGUGUGUGUGUGUGUGUGUGUGUGUUGCCAUGGUAUUAUCUUAUUUUGUAUUACUGGUCUGUUUUUGUUUUGUCUGCAAAAUAUGUGACUAAAGUUUGACAGAUGAUAAGUCCUGCAGAUUAAUGAAUGAAAGAGAGAGAGAGAGGUGGGGGUGGAGAGACAGUAGAGAAAAAUUUUGGAGUCUGUCACAAUGUGCGACAUUAUUUAAAAUAGAUACAGGUUCGGAUGUGGCGGGCAGAAAAAACAGUUUGGUUUUGCAGACCACCAUCACUGCCGUGGCUGCCAUCAACCUCCAUCCCCCACAUCUGCCAUCAUCAAUUCAGACCAGCCUCGUCUAACCUGCUGUGACGUAAACCCAAGUGAGAAGUUCCGAAGCUAGCCCCACCCACCACAAAAAAAAAAAGAGGAAAUUAAAAAAAAAAGAAAAGAAAAAUCCCCCCCUCUUCUCUCCUUCCCCCAGUAACAUUAUU